GAUGAACGCUAGCUACAGGCUUAACACAUGCAAGUCGAGGGGCAGCACAGAGAUAGCUUGCUAUCUUGGGUGGCGACCGGCGCACGGGUGAGUAACGCGUAUCCAACCUGCCCAUUACUCUGGGAUAGCCUUGCGAAAGUAAGAUUAAUACCGGAUGUUGUUAAAAACCCGCAUGAGUUUUUAACCAAAGAUUUAUUGGUAAUGGAUGGGGAUGCGUGACAUUAGGUAGUUGGUGAGGUAACGGCUCACCAAGCCUACGAUGUCUAGGGGUUCUGAGAGGAAAGUCCCCCACACUGGAACUGAGACACGGUCCAGACUCCUACGGGAGGCAGCAGUGAGGAAUAUUGGUCAAUGGACGAGAGUCUGAACCAGCCAAGUAGCGUGCAGGAUGACAGCCCUCUGGGUUGUAAACUGCUUUUAGUUGGGAAUAAAAAGAGGGACGUGUCCCUAAUUGUAUGUACCAUCAGAAAAAGGACCGGCUAAUUCCGUGCCAGCCGCCGCAGUAAAAC
rnacentral:rRNA from 1 species